AGUGAACGCUGGCGGCAGGCCUAAUACAUGCAAGUCGAACGGCAGCACAGUGGAGCUUGCUCCAUGGGUGGCGAGUGGCGGACGGGUGAGGAAUACAUGGGAAUCUGCCCAGUCGUGGGGGAUAACGUAUGGAAACGUACGCUAAUACCGCAUGCGCCCUUCGGGGGAAAGUCGGGGACCGCAAGGCCUGACGCGAUUGGAUGAGCCCAUGUUCGAUUAGCUAGUUGGCGGGGUAACGGCCCACCAAGGCGACGAUCGAUAGCUGGUCUGAGAGGAUGAUCAGCCACACUGGAACUGAGACACGGUCCAGACUCCUACGGGAGGCAGCAGUAGGGAAUAUUGGACAAUGGGCGCAAGCCUGAUCCAGCCAUGCCGCGUGAGUGAAGAAGGCCCUCGGGUUGUAAACCUCUGUCUGGGGGACGAGUAAGGACGGUACCCCCGGAGGAAGCCCCGGCUAACUACGUGCCAGCAGCCGCGGUAAUG
rnacentral:rRNA from 1 species